rnacentral:tRNA from 1 species
GGGGUCGUAGCUCAAUUGGGAGAGCGCUACCGUGGCACGGUAGAGGCCGUGGGUUCAAGUCCCAUCGACUCCACCA